rnacentral:rRNA from 1 species
AAGGGUGCGCAGGCGGGGGAUUAGGUCGGCGGUGAAAUAUCAGGGCUCAACCUUGAGAGUGCCGUCGAAACCGGUUUUCUUGAGUGCGGAUGAAGUAGGCGGAAUUUGUGGUGUAGCGGUGAAAUGCGUAGAUAUCACAAAGAACACCGAUUGCGGAGGCAGCUUACUAAACCGCAACUGACGCUCAUGCACGAAGGCGUGGGGAUCAAACAGGAUUAGAUACCCUGGUAGUCCACGCAGUAAACGAUGAUUACUAGCUGUUUGCGAUACAAUGUAAGCGGCUGAGCGAAAGCGUUAAGUAAUCCACCUGGGGAGUACGUUCGCAAGAAUGAAACUCAAAGGAAUUGACGGGGGCCCGCACAAGCGGAGGAACAUGUGGUUUAAUUCGAUGAUACGCGAGGAACCUUACCCGGGCUUGAAAUGCAUCUGACCGGGCCGGAAACGGUCUUUCCCAGCGAUGGGCAGAUGUGUAGGUGCUGCAUGGUUGUCGUCAGCUCGUGCCGUGAGGUGUCGGCUUAAGUGCCAUAACGAGCGCAACCCUCAUCGUCAGUUACCAUCGGGUAAAGCCGGGGACUCUGACGAGACUGCCAUCGUAAGAUGCGAGGAAGGUGGGGAUGACGUCAAAUCAGCACGGCCCUUAUGUCCGGGGCGACACACGUGUUACAAUGGGCGGUACAGCGGGGAGCUACCUGGCGACAGGGAGCCGAUCCCGAAAGCCGCUCACAGUUCGGAUCGGAGUCUGCAACCCGACUCCGUGAAGUCGGAUUCGCUAGUAAUCGCGCAUCAGCCACGGCGCGGUGAAUACGUUCCCGGGCCUUGUACACACCGCCCGUCAAGCCAUGGGAGUCGGGGGUACCUGAAGUUCGUAACCCUUCGGGGAGCGACCUAGGGUAAGACCGGUGACUGGGGCUAAGUCGUACA